AUUUCAAUUUUCCACAAACUUUUUCCUCUAAGUGGAAACACUUACAAGCAUGAUCCAAUAAAAAAGUUUAGGGUCGGGAUUUCGACGUCCAAAAGCUAGGUAGGGUCGGCAAACCGGAAACCCACAUAUUUUUUUUUUUGGCCUAAUGAUCCUCUGUUCAAGCUAACCCAAAUGUGGGGGAAUUUAAGAUUGCAUCAUCCAUCAUGUUCUUGAACGUAUCAUAAUCCAAAUCGUUGUUAUUUAUGUGAAGUGGCAAGAACAAGAUGUUGCCGCAGGUGUUGCUCCUUGGGCGAACGUCUUCCCAGAAAUGUAUGCUUGGUUUAGGGCGGAAUCCCAGUGGAGGUACUUCAUCCAAACCUGUUGCAAAUAUCAAAAUUGACGGCAAUGUAACGACAAACUCUGACCCAUUAACACUGGAAGUAUCUGCA